AAGUCGUAACAAGGUAACCGUAGGUGAACCUGCGGUUGGAUCAUUACUAAAUCCAACUUUCUGAAGCUUUCUGUAAAAGGAGAGUGGAAGGAAAAAAUUAGAGUGUUGGGAAGCUCGCAAGAGUUUUCCGCAUUCGACACACCUUUUGUGAACAUAAUUGUCUUUGGAGUUGACUGAAAAUGACUUUUUGUCAUCAAGGAAAACUCCUAUCCAUAAAAACUUUUAAUAGUCAGCCUUCUUUUAUUUAUUUCAAAGUUUACCCUUAAAAAGUAUUCCGAGAAAAUAUAACAAUAAGAAAACAACUUUUGACAACGGAUCUCUUGGCUCUC
rnacentral:misc_RNA from 1 species